GUUCAACUUUGAGUACUUUCACUGUCCUUAACCAAUUCUCUUUUCAGUAGAAUUCAUUUUCGUUAUGAAUGAGAAUUUCUACCCAUUGUUGUAGUUAUUAUUACCUUUUUGUUGUUUUAGGAAAACAAGUUAACAGCUCCAGGUAGCUGCCCUUAUCCCCCAAUGUGAGCUUGAUCAAACGAUAGGCGGUACCUUCAAAGAUGAACAAUCGAGAACAAUGACUCAAGCACUUAGAAAAAUUCAUUACUCAUUAAGCCAAUCUCGAACUCUUAUUGUUUUUCUUAAUCAGGUUCGGUUAAGUCUGAGAUUAGGGCAAGGUUUUGGACGAGUGGAUGAGGUCACAUGUGGUGGAAAUGCAUUGAAAUUCUAUGCAUCUGUACGACUGAAGAUGAUAGGAAAAGCAUUGCUCAAGACGGAGGAUAGGUAACUGGUCUUGGGGUUUGCGUCCAAGUUGUGAAAAAUAACCUGGCACCUUCGAUGAAAAUGGCUGAACUGGGAAUACAAUUUGGGAGAGGCUUUUGCUGUGAGUCUGAGGUCUUGGACUUGGCUUGUGAACAUGGAAUCAUCAUUAAAGAAGGAAGCAAAUACCUAAUAAAGGGAGAAUUUUUCAGUGAUAAACAUCAAGCUGAACAGUAUUUGGUUGAAAACAAUGGAAUCCUCGAUAAGAUAGUCAUGAUCUUACGAAGAGAGUUGUUUGAAAGAAAGAGAGAAACAGUUUAGGUCCUCCGUGGAUGAGUAGUAUUCAAAUAUAGUAAAAGCCUGGACGUCAAAGGAG